rnacentral:misc_RNA from 1 species
AAAAUGCGAUACUUGGUGUGAAUUGCAGAAUCCCGUGAACCAUCGAGUUUUUGAACGCAAGUUGCGCCCGAAGCCAUCCGGCUGAGGGCACGCCUGCCUGGGCGUCACGCAUCGCGUCGCUCCCCACCAUACCUCCCCAACGGGUUGGCAUGGUGUUGGGGGCGGAUAAUGGCCUCCCGUGCUUGUGUUUCGGUUGGCCUAAAUAAGAGUUCCCUUCGGCGGACACACGACUAGUGGUGGUUGAAUAGACCCUCGUCUUUUGUUGCGUGUCGUGAGCUGUAAGGGUAGCCCUCAUCAAAGACCCCAUUGUAUCGUCUUCGGAUGAUGCUUCGACCUCGACCCCAGGUCAGGCGGGACUACCCGCUGAGUUUAAGC